GAAAAUGAAUAAAAUUAUAAAAAUAUAAAAAGAUAUAUAAGUAUGUAUAUAUAUAUGUGUAAUACCAAUUAUUUGCCCGCCCUACCAAUAAUAAAAUACCAUAGCAGGCCCAAUAAAAUUAAAACCCAAUACCCAAUUGACCCCAGCCCAAGACCCAAACAUUAACCCAAAACUCAGCCCAAAAAAACAACAUCAGCAAAAACCCUAAAGCAACCACCAGCAGUCUGGCGCUGCAACUGCUGCCUCUUCGUGCGAGUUGCGCCUCCACGCGCACCACGCCUUGCGCGCCGCACCUCCAGCAGUACCUGCAGCAACAAAUACAAACAAUACAGUAAGGAAAAGGGAACAAAACAGGAGCAAAAAUCGGAAUAGAUUUAUUUUGAUUCUGUUUUUCAUUUCCAUUUCGGCUAUUUAAAGCCGUGAAAAAUCUGUAAAUGGGAGGGGAGUUUUUGGAGUGUAAAAAACAGACGAAAAUAGAGAGAAAAACUGAGAUUCCAAAGAAUUUUUUUUCGAAGGUGAAUCGUGUUUUUUUUAUUUUUCUUAUUUAUUUUUCAUUUAAAAUAUAAAGAAAAGGAAGGAAAAACGUACCCUUACACCGAACCCGCCGAGUCGUGGCCAUCUCCGUCGCAAUCGGAGCCUUGGCGCAAAAGGGAGGGGCGGUGCUCAAAGGGUUGAGGGAACCCUAAAA
rnacentral:lncRNA from 1 species